AAUCUUGCGCAAUGGGCGAAAGCCUGACGCAGCAACGCCGCGUGCGGGAUGAAGGCCUUCGGGUUGUAAACCGCUUUCAGUGGGGACGAACCAAGACGGUACCCACAGAAGAAGCCCCGGCCAACUACGUGCCAGCAGCCGCGGUAACACGUAGGGGGCAAGCGUUGUCCGGAUUUAUUGGGCGUAAAGAGCCCGUAGGUGGCUCAGUAAGUCGGGUGUGAAACCUCCAGGCUCAACCUGGAGACGCCACCCGAUACUGCUGUGGCUAGAGUCCAGUAGGGGAGCGUGGAAUUCCUGGUGUAGCGGUGAAAUGCGCAGAUAUCAGGAGGAACACCAGUGGCGAAGGCGGCGCUCUGGGCUGGAACUGACACUGAGGAGCGAAAGCGUGGGGAGCAAACAGG
rnacentral:rRNA from 1 species